GUGAGGAAUUUUCCGCAAUGGGCGAAAGCCUGACGGGGCAAUGCCGCGUGAAGGAUGAAGGCCUAUGGGUUGUAAACUUCUUUUCUCAGAAAAGAAUUAUGACGGUAUCUGAGGAAUAAGCAUCGGCUAACUCUGUGCCAGCAGCCGCGGUAAGACAGAGGAUGCAAGCGUUAUCCGGAAUGAUUGGGCGUAAAGCGUCUGUAGGUUGUUUAAAAAGUAUUCUGUCAAAGAUUAGGGCUUAAACCUAGAUAGGCAGAAUAAACUUUUAAGCUAGAGUGUGGUAGAGGCAGAGGGAAUUCCCGGUGGAGCAGUGAAAUGCUUAGAUCUCGGGAGGAACACCAAAGGCGAAGGCACUCUGCUGGGCCAAUACUAACACUGGGCGACGAAAGCGAGGGGAGCAAAUGCGAUUAGAAACCCAUGUAGUCC
rnacentral:rRNA from 1 species